AGUGACGCGCUCCCUUUUUGGCUAGCGGUGGCUAAGCUCGGCUUCUGGGUGCAUCUGGGGCGUUCCGCGGAGGUGAUCCUGUGUAGACUCCGCGGCCAGACCUCGGCCCAGCAGACACUGCAGAGCGCGGUCGGGGAGGAGCCGACCUAAGGAGAAAGCUUUGCUCGAAGGACCGGGCCUAGGGCGGGCCCACGCUGGGAGAGGCUUUCAUUAAGCCAGUGGCUUCUUGGGUUUGCUGCCAUCGUCCGUCAGCCCGGAGGUCAGGGCCAAGACGUGCUCACUUGACCCUUCGCCGGAAGGGGACACUGUGCGAACUACUGCCCUGCCCCCGAUAUUCAAGGACACAGAGCAAACUGCUUUUUAGAAGUGAAGCUAGAGAGAAGGCUCAGCGGUUUAAGAGCAUUCACUGCUUUUGUGGAGGACUUCGGUUUGAUACUUGGGGUUUUGAUAGCCAUCUGGUGGCUCACAACUGGAACUCCAGUUCAGGGGUCCAACGUUCCCUUCAGGGCUGCAGACCCUGAAUACGUGUGCUGCACGUACUUGCACGCAAGCGGAAUACUUAAACACACACAGCCCGGGACAGAUGUCUUACAGUCAGUAAAAUCAGCUUAUUGUAGGGAGGGAGGACCAUCUUCUAUGGGCAUUUUGUAAUUCCCGAGACCCACUCAAAAACCUCGUGAUCGGGCAGGAGAUAAACUCAUCAGUUAAAAGGACUUGCUGCUUUCCCAGAGGACUGGAGUUUGCGUUCCAGCAUCUUGGGGGGGGGGGGGGGUGGACCAAGCGAAAAAGAAAGAAUUUGAAAGCUUUGUAGUAUAUACCAACUGUCAGCAGACAGCUUGUCCUGUGAAGGAUUUACUAGUCCAAAUGAAUCUUUCAGUUCUUAGCCAGCCUCUGCCCUUAGAUGUCCUCAUGUUAGCAUAAUAAGUUCCUAGUGUAGCUUUGGUAGCAGAGGUGGUUGUCACACGAGUCCAACAGCGACGACUGCUCCAGUAACUGCAUUGCUGGGAGCUGAACUUGCCAGCCACAGGAGUGAAAGAUAGUCACCCUUCCUGGAUAGAACCCCUGAGCCCUCAGGGGGUUCAACUAACCUUUGCCCUACAGUGGAUGAAAUGUCAUUGUUUCCACCAGAAGUA
rnacentral:lncRNA from 1 species